rnacentral:rRNA from 1 species
AACGAACGCUGGCGGCAUGCCUAACACAUGCAAGUCGAACGAGACCUUCGGGUCUAGUGGCGCACGGGUGCGUAACGCGUGGGAACCUGCCCUUAGGUUCGGAAUAACUCCCCGAAAGGGGUGCUAAUACCGGAUAAUGUCUUCGAACCAAAGAUUUAUCGCCUUUGGAUGGGCCCGCGUUGGAUUAGCUAGUUGGUAGGGUAAAAGCCUACCAAGGCGACGAUCCAUAGCUGGUCUGAGAGGAUGAUCAGCCACACUGGGACUGAGACACGGCCCAGACUCCUACGGGAGGCAGCAGUGGGGAAUAUUGGACAAUGGGCGAAAGCCUGAUCCAGCAAUGCCGCGUGAGUGAUGAAGGCCUUAGGGUUGUAAAGCUCUUUUACCCGGGAUGAUAAUGACAGUACCGGGAGAAUAAGCUCCGGCUAACUCCGU